CAGACUUGUGGUUCAUCAAGUAGAUAUAGCCAUACCUACUCAAAUCGUAUGUGAAGGUGAGAAAAUAACGAUAUCCGCCGUGCACCUCUAUGCUCAUUGGUCCGCACACAUCAGUAUGUAUGAUCUCCAACAAGUCACUUGCACGCUCCAUUGUUCCAGAGAACAGAGUCUUAGUCAUCUUACCCAUGAGACAUGGUUCGCAUGUGUCAAGUGAUUCAAAAUCAAGUGACUCCAAAAUUCCAUCAGCAUGGAGUUUCUUCAUGCACUUAACACCAAUAUGACCGUUAGCAUAAGAACAAUAAAUCACCACUUUAGGUAUUGCUGUGAACUCAUGAGAUCCUUUAGUAUAAGAAAAAUAAAUCACCACUUUAGGUACUGUUGUGAACUCAUUCUUUAUUUAUAUUGGUGCAAUAUAUACUCUAUUCCAACUUCUUCAUGGUUCAUACCCCCCGAUACAACCCAUAGAUUCAUCAAAAUAAGCAAACAACACAAAGAAAACAGAAUCUGUCAAAAAGAGAACAAUGUGUAGCAAUCUAUAAACUUAGAAUACUUCUGUAACUCCAAAAAUUCUGAAAAUUUAGGAAAAUUGGGGCAAUUUGUAUAUCAAUAUUUUUUAAAAAUUUCAGAUCAAAAGCACAUUCCAGUGAAUUUACAAAUUCCUGGACUGCGAGCAAAAGUUUCUUUUUUUCAGCAAAAUCAAUUUGCAAACACCGUAGACAAUCACAAAGGUCUUACUUGGCUCAAACACUAAUUAAAACAAGAAUACACAAUUAUUACAGAGGUAAUAAUGUGUGCAGCACUCAAAAACAGAUGCAAAAACAAAACCAUAAAAAUAAAAUUGGGUUGCCUCCGAAGACAUGCUAUUGUUUAGUGCCCCUAGCUAGGCAUUGAUAAUUUUAAUGAUGCUCUCACGAAAGACAAGAAUUGAAGCACAAAAAGAGCAUCAUAUAGCAUGUCAAAAUCACAUUUAAGUCUAACAUACUUCUUAUGCAUAGGCAUUUUAUAAGAAAAUAAAUUAUCAAGGUAACCAAAAACUAGCAUAUGCAAGGGAGAAGAAUAAAGCAUUCACAAUCUCAACAUAACGAGAGGUAUAUUAGUAAUAUGAAAAUUUCUAGGAACAUAUUUUCCUCUCUCAUAAUAAUUGCAUGUAAGAUCAUACUCAAAUCCUUCUUACUACUUCUUGAGUUUGCGUUGGGUUUUCCCUUGAAGAGGAAAGAGUGAUGCAGCAAAGUAGAUAAGUAUUUCCCUCAGUUUGUUGAUAACCAAGAUAUCAAUCCAGUAGGAGGAACAAGCAAGGCCCCAAUGUUAGCACGUACACAAACAAUCAAACACUUGCACCCAACGCUAAAAAGGGGUUGUCAAUCCCUUCACGGUUAUUUGUAAGGAUGAGAUCUCAUAGAGAUAGAUAUAAAAGAUUGCUAGAACUAAAAGUAAAACAAAAGUAAAUAAAUGGCAAAAAUAUAUUUUUGGUAUUUUUGGUUUAUAGAUCUGAAAGUGUAAUAUGGAAAAUAGACCCGGGGGCCAUAGAUUUCACUAGAGGCUUCUCUCAUGAAAGAAAAUAAUACGGUGGGUGAACAAAUUACUGUCGAGCAAUUGAUAGAAAAGCGAAUAAUUAUGAAGAUAUCCAAGGCAAUGGUUAUGCAUAUAGGCAUCACGUCCGUGUCAAGUAGACCGAAACGAUUCUGCAUCUACUACUAUUACUCCACACAUCGACCGACUCCUGCCUGCAUCUAGAGUAUUAAGUUCAUGAAGAACAGAGUAACACAUUAGGUAAGAUGACAUGAUGUAGAGGGAUAAUCUCAAGCAAUAUGAUGAAAAACCCAUCUUUUUAUCCUCGAUGGCAACAAUGCAAUACGUGCCUCGCUGCCCCUACUUUGUCACUGGGUGAGGACACCGCAAGAUUGAACCCAAAACUAAGCACUUCUCCAAUUGCAAGAAUUAACAAUCUAGUUGGCCAAACCAAACUAAUAUCUCGAAGAGACUUGAUAACAUAUGAAAUCAUGCAUAUAAGAAUUCAGAGAAGAUUCAAAUAAUAUUCAUAGAUAAUCUGAACAUAAACCCACAAUUCAUCGGAUCUUGACAAACACACCGCAAAAGAGUAUUACAUCGGAUAGAUCUCCAUGAAGAUCAUGAAGAACAUGGUAUUGAAGAACAUGGUAUUGAAGAACAAAGAGAGAGAAUAAGCCAUCUAGCUACUAGCUAUGGACCCGUAGGUCUGUGGUGAACUACUCACACAUCAUCGGAGGGUCAAUGGGGUUGAUGUAGAUGCCCUCCGUGAUCGAUUCCCCCUCCGACAGAUUACCGUUAAAGGCUCCUAGGUUGGAUCUCACGGGAACAGAGGCUCCCGACGGCGGAAAACUAUUUUGUGGUAUUGGGGGAAUAUUUGGGAAUAUAUAGGACGAAGAUUAGGGUUAGGAGGCUUGCAGGGGGCCCACAAGCCACGGGGCGCGCCCUGCAGGCUUGUCGUCUCCCGGCAGGUCUCCUGCCCCCUUCUCCAAGGUUGGCAGGUUUCUUCUAGUCCAAGAAAAAUCAUUCGACAUAUUUUAUUCUGUUUGGAUUCCGUUUAAUAUUUCUUAUUUGCAAUACUCAAAAACAUGGAAAAAACAGAAACUGGCACUAGGCUCUAGAUUAAUAGGUUAGUCCCAAAAAUAAUAUAAAAUAGCAUAUUAAUGCAUAUAAAACAUCCAAAACAGAUAAUAUAAUAGCGUGGAACAACCAAAAAUUAUAGAUACGUUGGAGAUGUAUCAGUAUUCACCAUGUGUUAGUGCUUUGUUCCGGUUCUCUAUUAAAAGGAGGCAUUAAUAUCCCUUUCCUUAUGGACCCCUCUGCCUCGGGAGGGUUGGACAAAAGAUGUCAUGUAGUUUCUUACUAUAAGCAUGCAUGACUAUAUAUGAAAUACAUGCCUACAUUACAUUGAUGAAUUGGAGCUAGUUCUGUGUUGUUCUAGUAUGUAACUGUUACAUAAUGAAUGUCAUCCAAUAUAAUUAUCCAUCACCGAUCCAAUGCCUACACUUUUCGUAUAUUGAUCUCCGUCAAGUUACUAUUGUUGCUGCUAUUGUUACAACCAUCAUAAUCGCUACUCUUAUAUCCCUACUACUAUUGUUAUCGUGCUACUAAAACUUUGGUGUAGAAAGAAAUUUCAGGUGUGGUUGAAUUGCAAACUCAACUGCUAAGUGUUGGAAAUAUGCCCUAGAGGCAAUAAUAAAUUAGUUAUUAUUAUAUUUCUUUGUUCAUGAUAAUCGUUUAUUAUCCAUGCUAUAAUUGUAUUGAUUGGAAACACAAUACUUGUGUGGAUACAUAGACAAAACACUGNNNNNNNNNNNNNNNNNNNNNNNNNNNNNNNNNNNNNNNNNNNNNNNNNNNNNNNNNNNNNNNNNNNNNNNNNNNNNNNNNNNNNNNNNNNNNNNNNNNNCUCUGUUCGUCAUGAACUCAAUACACUAGAUGCAUGCUGGAUAGCGGUUGAUGUGUGGAGUAAUAGUAGUAGAUGCAGAAAGUUCAGUCUACUUGUCUCGGACGUGAUGCAUAUAUGUAUGAUCAUUGCCUUAGAUAUCGUCAUGACUUUGCGCGGUUCUAUCAAUUGCUCGACAGUAAUUUGUUCACCCACCGUAAUAUUUGCUAUUUUGAGAGAAGCCUCUAGUGAACACUAUGGCCCCCGGGUCUACUCCAUACCAUAUUUUCAGCCUUACACUUUUUCUUCGUUGCACUUUCCGCCUUCAGAUCUCACUUUGCAAUCAAUCUUGAAGGGAUUGACAACCCCUUUAUAGCGUUGGGUGCAAGCUCUUUGUGUUUGUGCAGGUACACUGGACUUGACGAGAUUCUCCUGCUGGAUUGAUACCUUGGUUCUCAAACUGAGGGAAAUACUUACUGCUCCUGUGCGGCAUCACCCUUUCCUCUUCAAGGGGAAAACUGACGCAAGCAAGUCUCCGUCAACGUGUCAAUUUUUGGCGCUGUUGUUUGAGAAGUAGCACGGCUCUGCUCCCGCAGCCCCUCGUGCGGCUCCCUGCAACCACGGUGACGCACCAGGGCAGGUCUCGGCCCUCCCUCGCGCGGCGGCUACCUUGCCGUGGCGAGGAGGGCUCAGAUCUGGCCGCCGCGCGCGCCUUGCCGCCGCUCCUUGCCACCGCGCGCGCCUUGCCGCCGAUCCUUUCCCCUGUUUCCUUGUCCCGUGCCUUAGGCCUAUGGCGCCGUGGCCACCCCUUCGCCGGUGGUAGGUUUCCCUUAGCGGAAGCGCACCGCCGUCGAACGGCAUGCUUGCGGUGCCCUUUUUCUUUUUCCUUUUGCCUAGCACCACCACGACCAGAGAAGGUUCUAGAUGUGUGACGCGAUGGCGCCGUCUCGGUCCCGUUUGCCGGCGUGCGCGAGCACCUCUAGGGGUGAAUGUGCCUCCUUCAAACGGCUCGGUGGUGGCACCCUUUGCCCCGGGAGGGGUGGAUUUGCUUUGUCUUUGUCGUAUCUUUGCAUGUCCCCUUUUCAUUUUUCUUUGUUUGCCUUUUUGGAUCCAAUCCGAUUUCUUUGUUUGUUUUCCUUUUGGAUCUAAUGAGAUCCAUACUUUGCCUCCGAGGAGGUAGGUUCUUCUUCCCCACACCUCGGCUUGCCGAUGCGUGUGGGGAUCGAGAGGAACAGGCGCGGCCUUGCGGCGACGCUUCUUUGCCGACGAGGCCCGAGGCCAUCUUCAGUGCUUUUGGGGAGGGGAAUAUUUUUCUCUUUCGUUUCUUUGACCGAAACGUAUCUAGUGCCCAACCUCGCUCUCGUACCAUUGAUAGAACACAUGGAUCUUCUAGGCAUAGAUAUACCCAUAGAACGCGUAGCUUUACCUUCUCCCGAGCUGGAUGACCUCCCGCCGGUCUCCAUCGGUGCGGUAGCGAUGGCGGUGAUGACACAGAAGGGUCUAGCAUGGGUGAAGCUUCCCGUGAGCACCGCGCUAAACCUAGAUCGGAUUGGUAUGUUGGUAGGGGUGUGGCGACGGGGAACCUCGUAAGUCAUGCCCCGACACCUCACAUUUCUUUAUAUAGCGCGGGUCACAGGGACCCACCAACAUAAUGGUUUGGACGCCCUCAAUCAGCACGCAUAGAUCAAGGCCCGGUGGACCGUUGGGCCCACGCGGUGAAAGAUCAACCUAACAUCUAGGACUUGUUCUUGCCGGAGGCGGAGGCGUCGGUCCCCGGGCCCUUGCUGGCGACGAGGUCGAGGUCCUCGUCGGUGUAGCCGUCGGCGUCCUCCCAGGUGAACUUGCCGUCGCGACCACCCUUCUUGGCGUCACCGCUCAUCCCGGACCCCGACUUGCGGUCGCUGCGGCCUUGCGAUGCCUUGCGGUCGUCCCGACCCUGCUUCUUCCCGCCGUCCAUCGCCGGACCAUCUCCUCCUCCCUUCCUUUUUAGCUCUGGAAGAAACAAGAUCAAGAGCUAGCGAGCAACGAGGAUGGAUGGAUGGAAACUAGUAGUAUGCGAUGCGCAUCUGCUUCGGUUUGCUCUGAUUUGAUUUCGUCGCGCACAGCAAUUGCAGGCUGUUUGGUUUCUCCCUGACCGAUCAGAAGGCACUGGGAGGAGCAGGUGAGGAUGGCGCCAAGGAAGGGGAACUGCGUUGGGCCAGGCGGGGGUGGCGGUGCAGGCGCACCUGCGAGGAGCUUCGUUGACUUGCUUCAUUUGAGGCACAACAAUGCGACACAGAGCAGCGAGAUGCACACUGACAAUAGCGCCUGGACUCGGAGUGGAAACGCUAUGGUGCAUGACGCCUUUGCCGCUUGGGUAGCAACGACAGACCCACUGACAUUUCUAUGUGAGCUCCAACGCGAGCUAGUUAGAUGAAUAUGGAGAGAGACGUCACGGCACACCGGCGUUUCUACGUGCAGCAACAACGCACGGGUUGUGGUGUUUCUAAAAAGGGACUGCUAGCCGUCUACCGGUGGAUUUGUAGUAAUCAUCUGCCACUUUUUUAACCAUCCGAUAUACACGCAUGCAUCGUUCGAUCUGUUUCUGCCCAAACACAUAAAAUCCUAAAACAACGUUCCAGUUGCAGAAACAAGCACGCUGCUAUGCGUCCGCCUGACGAGUUAAAAAAUGACUGACAGGUCUUUUGCAACAUAGAUUAUGUUGCAAUUUUUUUUGUAACAGAGAGCAUGUUGCGAAAACGUCCGUAGAUUUUUUUUUGCGAUAGAACUUGUUAUAGAAUAUUUUUUGCAACAAGGAUCGUGUUGCAGAAACUUUUGAAACAAAAGUCAUGUUGCAGAAAACUUUUGCAACAUAGGCCAGGCUGCAGAAAACUUUUACAACAAAAGAUAUUUAUUUCAAUUUUUUGAAACACAGACCAAGUUGGGGAAACUCCUCGCCGCGCGCGUGCACGCCUGAACGUCAGCCAUGAUUAUAAGCGUGAGGCAAAAAGUACAUAUAGACACGUGUUGGAUGCAGGAGGCGGCGGACGCACUGAGUGUGAUCCGUCGGCGGAAUCAUAGUGUUUUCCUUUAAAAAAGGUCAGAUCUUGAAAUAGUUUCGAACAUAUUUUAUUGUGUGCUAUAGUUUCAGAUUAAGGUCACAACAGUGAAAAAGUCCAUUUUUCACCGGUCUUUCAUAAGUUUUGGACGAUUUUUUUUCGCGAAAAAACGCGUUUUCUAUUUUUUUUACACAAAAAACAUGUUUUCUAUUUUUUUGCGAGAGGCAUGGUUUUGCUUCCGCGAGAGGCACGAUUUUGCCUGCGCGAAAGGCACAACCGUGCCUUUUGGAAAGAAAAAAAAGUUUUUUUGUUUUUUUGCGAGAGGCACGGUUUGCUUCUGCGAAAGACACGGUUUUGCCAUCGCGAGAGGCACGCCCGUGCCUUUCGGAAAGGGAAAAAUGCAUUUUCUGUUUUUUUUGCGAGAGGCAUGAUUUUGCUUUCGCGAAAGGCACGGUUUUGUCUUCGCGAGAGGCACGCCCGUGCCUCUCCCGAAAGGGAAAAACACGUCUUUUUUUUUUUGUGAGAGGCACGGCUUUGCUUCCGCGAAAGGCACAAUUUUGCCUUCGCGAGUGGCACGCCUGUGCCUCUCCCAAAAAGAAUAAAAGAACGCAUUUUCUGCUCUCUUUUUUUCCACGAGAGGCACGGUUUUACUUUCACGAGAGGCACGGUUUUGCCUUCGCGAGAGGCACGACCCGUGCCUCUCGGAAAAGAAAUAAAACACGAAAACAGUUUUUUUCUAUCGCGUGAGGCAUAGUUUUUUCGUGAGUUUUUUUGUCAAAACCUAUUAACAUGGAAUCUAGUUUUGAAGAUCCCGACGCGAAAAGCCAACGGUGAAAAUGGUUUAAGAUUUGGACGUACGGUUUAGGUGAUAAAAUGUUUUGAAAAUACGGAUCUGUGAAGGUGACACGCAUGCAGUGCGUCACUUGUCGCAAACUAUGAAGGUGGAAGUAACCGUUGAAAGAUGUAUUCGCUAACUAGUGAUUUCAGAUGAACGCGAGACCGGAGCUCUUAGUCAGCCCCUCUUAUGCUAACUAGCGCGGCUGGCCCUCACGCGCGCGUUAACGGGCCGAGGCCUAUUAAGUGCGUCUAUGCUCGCUGGCUAAGGGUCUUCCCUCGCUUACUCGGCUCUUUGUAGUUGACGGUGAAGUUGACCAGGCUGGUUGAGUUGAACUUCUGUUCGAAACAAAUUUGUAAAAAACAUGCAAGAAUCAGAAAAGUUCAUCAAAUUCGACGAAAGGUGGCAAAUUUGAAAAAUGUUCAUUAAUUUGGAAGAAAAGUUGCCUAAUUUGUAAAGAAAAUUUCAUUAAUUUUGAAAAAAACUUCACAGAUUUAUAAAAAGUUCAGAAGUUUUUCAAAAUAUUCAUGUAUUUUUGUAAAAAAAUUACGAGUUUUAAAAAGGUUCAUUGAUUUUGAAAAAAUCCACAUUUUUUUUAAAGUUCAUCAAGUUUUUAAAAAAACCAUCGAUUCUGAAAAAAGUUCAUCGUUUUUUAAAGAGAAGUUUAUCGUGUUUGAAAGAAGUUCAUUUAUUUUUAACAAAAAUCAUAAAAAACUGAAAAAAACCAUCAAAUAUAAAAAAAAAGUUCAUCUAAAUUAAGAAAAGUUCAUUGAUUUGAAAAAAGUACAUUAGAAUUGAAAAUGUUGUGCAUUUCUGGAAAAGGAAAAAACAGGUACAAAAGAAAAGAAAAAAAGAGUAAAUAAAAUAAAUAUAAAAAGUAAAAAUGGAAAAUCGAACAAAAAACAUACCGAAAAAAACCUAACAAAAAAAACCGACUAGGAAAACUUUUGGCAGCUUCGCAAAUCUAGAAAUAGCUCACUUCCGCUUGGACCUAGAUGCGCUGGCCCGCUUUGGAACGCUUCAAGCAUUAGUUAACGAAAUGCAUGUUAAUGGGUGCGUGUAACACCAAAUAGGCAUCACCGACAUAGACACGGAAAAUGGGCCCCAAUAAAGAAAACGAAACAAAAAUAUGGGUCACGAGACGAAAUGCCCUGUCAUUGUCCUCCUAUACAACAUGCUGAGAUAGGCCAUAAAAUACGAGAGAAACGAAACAAAAACAUGGGUUGCAAGAGUAAAACGAAAAAGGGCCUCGAUGCAAGUAGAUCGGAUGGUUGACGCGGUCAAUGAGGCCAAACAAAAAACUCAGCUAUGGCUCAGCUUCAGUCAUCCCAAAAUAACCCCCUCUUCUAUAAUGAAAAAGCAGAGUUCCUGCUGUUUCCGUCAAAAAGAAAUUGAGAGCCAAUCAGAGAAAAAAGGAGCAAACAAACCACCCGACUUGGUAGCCAAGCUUCACAUCACAUUUGCUUGGUAAGAAUCAAACACUUUUCCACUGUUUGAACGAAAACAUUGAAAUGACUUUUUAGACUUUAUUCCAGGUCAGACAACAAGCAUGCACGAAUGAAAUGUGUACAUUUGGUUGACACACAUACCAAUUAUUGCACUGAACAAUAAAAGAUGAAUUCAUCCUUACGUCCAUGAUCACACGCACAUCAGAUGCCACACCCACACUUGUAGUGUAUAUCCUCUCGUGGUCUCCCCCUAAUAUCAAUUGAUGAACGCACAACGCUUCCGGACUUCUCCCUUGGAGGGGUCCGUUAUCACCCUUAUGUUCCCCAUCUUGAUCAUGGAAUUUGCGAAGGCCUUGAAGAAGGCGUCCUGGCUGCCCGCGAACCGGUCGACGAUUGGCGCCGUUGUCCCCACCGCGAGUGGGUCUGACUUGAGUUCCUGGUCGGAUUGGAGGAAGCCACGAUUCACCUUCAGGUUGGUGAAGUAGUUCUUGUCGAACUUGUCGGGUGUUGUCGGGUCGAGGUCGUUCAGGGACUGACCGUUGCCGUUCAUUGGGCAUCGCUGGGACAGGAAGGCCCUAUAGCUCGGGCUGAGGGUCGGGUCGGGCCGGUUCGUCCCAUUAAAGUUGUACAAUCUAUCGGUGACAAACUGGCAUUGCACACGACCGAAAGUGUGUGCGCCUACACAUUUAAAACAAAAAUAAGGUUAAUAUUAAAGAUGAAACAAGGACCAUGUAUAAGAAUUCUCUCGAUUUAUAUAUCGGUAUUUAAACUUGGGUUUCUUCUGGAGUUCUUAUGAUCAGUUUUUUCUUGAGUUUUAUUAUCGCUUAUAUAUCUUUCAUCGUCAAUAGUAUAUACAUAUAUUCUCACAAAAAGUGAGGUGUGUAUAUAUAUAUAUGAAGGUAGAAUUACAGAGAGGAGAGGCCGGAGUGCUAUCUUCUUUUUCAUCAAACGAAAAAGUACAAAGACGGUGUCCUGAAAGUAGUGUUAAGGUUUCUAAUUUCGGAAGCAAAAUAAUUUUAGACUUCACCGAAAUAUCUUAAAUUUUGAAACUUUCACAUAUUUUGGAAAUUAUUUCCGCUUUUCAGAUUUCAAUUUUCACUCAAUUUUAAUGAGUUCUAACGUUAUUUUCUAUUAUUUUGAAAUCAGUUUGAAUCCGCCUCGAAAUUUCGGGAUAAAUAUAUUCCAAACCCCGCUGAAAUAGGCAAAAGUUCGUUGAAUUUUGAACCCACCGUUACAUCAAGUUUAUUGACAGUAUUUAUAGUAUCUUUGGAUGUAGUUGUGCUUGUGCGCGAGCUUGGUUACCUGAGAGAGCGACGAGGUCGGUAGUACCGUCAAGCGUGGCGAGUUUGAACUUGUCUGUCAGGUUUUUCAGGCCGUCGAAUGGGCCUGGUAGGUUCCCGGCUUCCGUAAAGUUGGACGUGAAGCCGUCCAGCCUCCCCAGCAAGACGCUCCACCCAGGUCCUCCAGACUGCAUACGCAUAUAUGCCAACUUAAUUAGCGUCCAUUCCUUUGUUACCAUCGACUUUUGCUUGGACAGUUGCAUGCAAAUAUGGCGAAUCCUAACUCAUAUCCUCUACGUUCAGUUGCAUAUGCAUGCAUGUAUAUAUGAUCGUUGUGCUAUAUGCAGGCACUGAGGGAGAACACUCGUUAAACCACGCAGGCCGAAAGCUACAUAGGACCUACUACUACCAAUCAUGCUCGUGGAAAUGGAACUCGAAAAAGGAAAAA
rnacentral:lncRNA from 1 species